rnacentral:rRNA from 1 species
GACGAACGCUGGCGGCGUGCUUAACACAUGCAAGUCGAGGGUAGCAAUACACUGGCGCAAGGGUGCGUAACGCGUAGAUUAUCUGCCCCAUACACUAACAUAACGCUUGGAAACGGGUGCUAAUAUUAGAUGAGGUGCUUCGGCAUCAAAGUUUCGACGGUAUGGGAUGAGUCUGCGUCUGAUUAGCUAGUUGGUAGUGUAAUGGACUACCAAGGCGACGAUCAGUAGCUGGUCUGAGAGGACGAUCAGCCACACUGGAACUGAGACACGGUCCAGACUCCUACGGGAGGCAGCAGUGAGGAAUUUUGCGCAAUGGACGAAAGUCUGACGCAGCGACGCCGCGUGUGGGAUGAAGGGGCUACGCCCUGUAAACCACUGUUAGAUGUGAAAAAAAGAUGGCUUUGCCGUCCGGGAUUGUAACAUCAAAGAAAGGACCGGCUAACUACGUGCCAGCAGCCGC